rnacentral:rRNA from 1 species
GCUGGAUUCGCUAGUAAUCGCGCAUCAGCCACGGCGCGGUGAAUACGUUCCCGGGCCUUGUACACACCGCCCGUCAAGCCAUGGAAGCCGGGAGUGCCUGAAGUACGCGACCGCAAGGAGCGUCCUAAGGUAAAACCGGUGACUGGGGCUAAGUCGUAACAAGGUACC